UGGGGAAUAUUGCACAAUGGGCGCAAGCCUGAUGCAGCCAUGCCGCGUGUGUGAAGAAGGCCUUCGGGUUGUAAAGCACUUUCAGCGAGGAGGAAGGUGGUGAGCUUAAUACGCUCAUCAAUUGACGUUACUCGCAGAAGAAGCACCGGCUAACUCCGUGCCAGCAGCCGCGGUAAUACGGAGGGUGCAAGCGUUAAUCGGAAUUACUGGGCGUAAAGCGCACGCAGGCGGUUUGUUAAGUCAGAUGUGAAAUCCCCGGGCUCAACCUGGGAACUGCAUUUGAAACUGGCAAGCUAGAGUCUCGUAGAGGGGGGUAGAAUUCCAGGUGUAGCGGUGAAAUGCGUAGAGAUCUGGAGGAAUACCGGUGGCGAAGGCGGCCCCCUGGACGAAGACUGACGCUCAGGUGCGAAAAGCGUGGGGAGCAAAACAGGAUUAGAUACCCCUGGUAGUCCACGCUGUAAAACGAUGUCGAUUUUGGAGGUUGUGCCCUUGAGGCGUGGCUUCCGGAGCUAACGCGUUAAAGUCGACCGCCUGGGGAGUACGGCCGCAAGGUUAAAACUCAAAGGAAUUGACGGGGUCUA
rnacentral:rRNA from 1 species